UACGUAGGGACCAAGCGUUGUUCGGAUUUACUGGGCGUAAAGGGCGCGUAGGCGGCGUGGUAAGUCACUUGUGAAAUCUCUGAGCUUAACUCAGAACGGUCAAGUGAUACUGCUGUGCUAGAGUGCGGAAGGGGCAAUCGGAAUUCUUGGUGUAGCGGUGAAAUGCGUAGAGAUCGGGAGGAACACCAGCGGCGAAGGCGGCGAACUGGAUAGGCACUGACACUCAACAACGAAAGCGUGGGGAGCAAACAGG
rnacentral:rRNA from 1 species